rnacentral:rRNA from 1 species
CAGUCGCCGCGGUAAUACGUAGGUGGCAAGCGUUGACCGGAAUUAUUGGGCGUAAAGGGCUCGCAGGCGGUUUCUUAAGCCUGAUGUGAAAGCCCCCGGCUCAACCGGGGAGGGUCAUUGGAAACUGGGAAACUUGAGUGCAGAAGAGGAGAGUGGAAUUCCACGUGUAGCGGUGAAAUGCGUAGAGAUGUGGAGGAACACCAGUGGCGAAGGCGACUCUCUGGUCUGUAACUGACGCUGAGGAGCGAAAGCGUGGGGAGCGAACAGGAUUAGAGACCCCCGUAGUCCCUGUCUCUUAUAC